CCAGCAGCUGCGGUAAUUCCAGCUCCAAUAGUGUAUAUUAAAGUUGUUGCAGUUAAAAAGCUCGUAGUUGGAUUUCUGGCGGGAGCGAUCGGUCCUUCACUCAGUGUUGGAACCUGAUUGUCUCCUGCCAUCCAUGGAGAAAACUUAUCUGGCAUUAAGUUGUCGGGUAGGCAAUCUCCAUCUUUUACUGUGAAAAAAUUAGAGUGUUCAAAGCAGGCUUAUGCCGUUGAAUAUAUUAGCAUGGAAUAAUAAGAUAGGACUAUGGUACUAUUUUGUUGGUUUGUGCACCAUGGUAAUGAUUAAUAGGGACAGUUGGGGGUAUUCGUAUUCCAUUGUCAGAGGUGAAAUUCUUGGAUUUAUGGAAGACGAACUACUGCGAAAGCAUUUACCAAGGAUGUUU
rnacentral:rRNA from 1 species